CCCGUUAUCCGGGUUGCGGACAGUGUCUGGUGGGUAGUUUGACUGGGGCGGUCUCCUCCUAAAGAGUAACGGAGGAGCACGAAGGUUGGCUAAUCCUGGUCGGACAUCAGGAGGUUAGUGCAAUGGCAUAAGCCAGCUUGACUGCGAGCGUGACGGCGCGAGCAGGUGCGAAAGCAGGUCAUAGUGAUCCGGUGGUUCUGAAUGGAAGGGCCAUCGCUCAACGGAUAAAAGGUACUCCGGGGAUAACAGGCUGAUACCGCCCAAGAGUUCAUAUCGACGGCGGUGUUUGGCACCUCGAUGUCGGCUCAUCACAUCCUGGGGCUGAAGUAGGUCCCAAGGGUAUGGCUGUUCGCCAUUUAAAGUGGUACGCGAGCUGGGUUUAGAACGUCGUGAGACAGUUCGGUCCCUAUCUGCCGUGGGCGCUGGAGAACUGAGGGGGGCUGCUCCUAGUACGAGAGGACCGGAGUGGACGCAUCACUGGUGUUCGGGUUGUCAUGCCAAUGGCACUGCCCGGUAGCUAAAUGCGGAAGAGAUAAGUGCUGAAAGCAUCUAAGCACGAAACUUGCCCCGAGAUGAGUUCUCCCUGACUCCUUGAGAGUCCUGAAGGAACGUUGAAGACGACGACGUUGAUAGGCCGGGUGUGUAAGCGCAGCGAUGCGUUGAGCUAACCGGUACUAAUGAACCGUGAGGCUUAACCUU
rnacentral:rRNA from 1 species